AAGGUUGUAGAAAGGGUGGAGCUUGGAGCUGGGGUGUAACUGGAGGGGCGGGCCCUUCUCCAAGGUAGAGUUGGGGUUCUGAGCGAGUCUUGCGUUUUAGGUUUAGUGUCUUUUCCUUGUCCCUGCUCGGGGAGCGUGAGGCAGAUCGGCCGGCUUUGCUCCAGGCCUCAGGAGUCUCACUCGCCAGGGCUUGCACAGUACAUUGGAACGUGCGGGUUCUAUUGUGUAUUCGACGUGCCGGAUCGAAAUAGAGCUCGCGGCACUGCGAAGACCACAGUAGGAAGUUAAGGACGGGGUUGCAGGUUCGCAGCCCUGUCAACCAGCUCCGAGCCGGCAGCGAAACCUGAAGUGAACCGUGUGGAAAAUGAAGCUGUCGCCCCAGAGUUCACCAACCGGAACCCCCGGAACCUGGAGCUCUUAUCUGUAGCCAGGAAAGAGCGGGGCUGGCGGACGGUGUUUCCCUCCCGUGAGUUCUGGCACAGGUUGCGAGUUAUAAGGACUCAGCAUCAUGUAGAAGCACUUGUGGAGCAUCAGAAUGGCAAGGUUGUGGUUUCGGCCUCCACUCGUGAGUGGGCUAUUAAAAAGCACCUUUACAGUACC
rnacentral:sRNA from 1 species